rnacentral:rRNA from 2 species
AGCUUGUUGUAAUUUUAUAAUAAGUAGCUUCUGCCCGGUGAAAAUUUUUAACGGCCGCGGUAUUUUGACCGUGCAAAGGUAGCAUAAUCAUUUGCCUUUUAAUUGUGGGCUGGAAUGAAAGAAGGAUCAAGUGUGAAGCUGUCUCUUAAUAGUUGUUAAAAUUUUCUAUUAUUGUGAAGAAGCAAUAAUGUUAAAAAGGGACAAGAAGACCCUAUCGAGCUUUACUAGUAUAGUAAGUAUAAAGUUAUAAAUAAAUAGUUUAUUAUUAAAGUGGUUUUAUUGGGGCGAUAAGAAAAGAAAAAAUCUUUUCUGUAUAAUUAACUAACUAGUUUAAUUUUGAACAGUUUAUAACUUUUAAUGGAACAAGUUACCGUAGGGAUAACAGCGUAAUUUUUUUUAGAGUACGUAUCGAAAAAAGAGUUUGCGACCUCGAUGUUGACUUAUUAUUUCCUAUUGGAGCAGUUGCUAAAAAGGUUGUCUGUUCGACCAUUAAAAUAGU